GGAUGUUGGCUUAGAAGCAGCCAUCAUUUAAAGAAAGCGUAAUAGCUCACUGGUCGAGUCGGCCUGCGCGGAAGAUGUAACGGGGCUAAACUAUGCACCGAAGCUGCGGCAACGAUAUGUAAAUAUUGUUGGGUAGGGGAGCGUUCUGUAAGCCUGUGAAGGUGUGCUGUGAGGCAUGCUGGAGGUAUCAGAAGUGCGAAUGCUGACAUAAGUAACGAUAAUG
rnacentral:rRNA from 1 species